rnacentral:rRNA from 1 species
GAUGAACGCUAGCGGGAGGCUUAACACAUGCAAGUCGAGGGGCAGCACGAGGUAGCAAUACUUUGGUGGCGACCGGCGCACGGGUGAGUAACGCGUAUGCAACCUACCCUGUACAGGGGGAUAACCCGGAGAAAUUCGGACUAAUACCCCAUAAAGAUAUUUUGAGGCAUCUUAAGAUAUUUAAAGUUCCGGCGGUACGGGAUGGGCAUGCGUAACAUUAGCUAGUUGGUAAGGUAACGGCUUACCAAGGCAACGAUGUUUAGGGGUCCUGAGAGGGUGAUCCCCCACACUGGUACUGAGACACGGACCAGACUCCUACGGGAGGCAGCAGUGAGGAAUAUUGGUCAAUGGGCGCAAGCCUGAACCAGCCAUCCCGCGUGAAGGAAGAAUGCGCUAUGCGUUGUAAACUUCUUUUCCAGGGGAAUAAAAUUUUGUACGAGUACGGAAUUGAAGGUACCCUGGGAAUAAGCAUCGGCUAACUCCGUGCCAGCAGCCGCCGUAAAAC